CCAACCUUCCGUACACUCAGGGAUAGCCUUUCGAAAGAAAGAUUAAUACCUGAUGGUAUGAUGGGAUUGCAUGAUAGCAUCAUUAAAGAUUCAUCGGUGUACGAUGGGGAUGCGUUCCAUUAGAUAGUAGGCGGGGUAACGGCCCACCUAGUCGACGAUGGAUAGGGGUUCUGAGAGGAAGGUCC
rnacentral:rRNA from 1 species